CAGUAGCCACGGUAAUACGGAGGGUGCAAGCGUUAUUCGGAAUUACUGGGCGUAAAGCGCACGCAGGCGGUUGCCAAGUCAGAUGUGAAAGCCCCGGGCUUAACCUGGGAACUGCAUUUGAAACUGGGCGACUAGAGUAUGAAAGAGGAAAGCGGAAUUUCCAGUGUAGCAGUGAAAUGCGUAGAGAUGUGGAGGAACACCGAUGGCGAAGGCAGCCCCCUGGGCCAAUACUGACGCUCAUGCACGAAAGCGUGGGGAGCAAACAGGAUUAGAGACCCCUGUAGUCCCUGUCUCUUAUACA
rnacentral:rRNA from 1 species